UACAGAGGUCUCAAGCGUUGUUCGGAUUCAUUGGGCGUAAAGGGUGCGUAGGCGGGCUAUUAAGUCAGUGGUGAAAGCCCCAAGCUUAACUUGGGAACUGCCAUUGAUACUGAUGGUCUUGAGUACAUUUGAGGUGGGCGGAAUGUGUCAUGUAGCGGUGAAAUGCUUAGAUAUGACACAGAACACCGAUUGCGAAGGCAGCUCACUAAACUGUAACUGACGCUGAGGCACGAAAGCGUGGGGAGCAAACAGG
rnacentral:rRNA from 1 species